GGGGCUGUUCAGGUUUCGACAGGUAUUUUAGAGUAUAAAUGGCAAGCCGGAGGCACACGUUACGUGCAAACAAAAAAUAACUGGAAACAGAAAUCAAUUAGCUUUCGCUUAAUAAUAUAGAAGGCUGCUUCUUUUAUCUUUUUCCUACGAAGAUAAUAAGAGGCUCGAUUUAGUAGGAUAUAUUAUUAUUUAGCUUAGAAGUAAUAAUGAAAAUAAUAAGCUUACUGAUAAAUUGGAUUGUUAGUUACCGUAUUUAUUAGGACAUUCAAUAACUAAAUAAGCUUGUAGAAGUUUAUAUGAAGAAAUACUUGGACAGGAGUUCGAUUCUCCUCAGCUCCACCA
rnacentral:tmRNA from 1 species